UUUACAUAAAACAUUUUAUAGUUUUCGAAGCUAAAGGGAAAAGAGUAGAAGUCAAAAGGCAAAAAGGAACAGAACCUUCUCUCCUAUGGGAAGCUUUUCAAGAGUAUCAGUCGGUGAGGUUUGUAUGGCCCUCGGGGAAAACAGAAACUGAAUCAUUUAUAAGAUUAAGGUGAACAAACUGUCAAAACACUAUCUAUGGACAUUCCUACAUGGAAGAUAAGAGCAACACAUGAAGAGGAUAGUUAAAGUUCAACAAUGAGGUUUGGCUAAAAGAAAUCAAUUGCAAAUAGCAUUGAGAAUGAGCUCAUUGCCAAAUUCAAGAAAAUCUAUGUUGAAAAAAAAAUAAGAGACUUGGCUUAAUCAAUGAAGUCCAUUCAAAGUCAGAACCUGGUUAAGG